rnacentral:tRNA from 1 species
GUAGACGUAGUUUAACAAAAAUAUUAGAUUGUGAUUCUAAAGAUAGGGGUUAAUCUGCCCCUCGUCCACC